GCUGUCUCUCAUGGUUGUUUUCACUAAUUUCAGAGAAAUGGUCAGUGUCUUCUGAAAAAGUCCGUUAGCAUCUCAACUGUAAUGCUAACUACAAGAGAUUCUUCCAUGCUGAUGGCCGUGCGUGUAUCCAGCUGAAGAACAUUUUUAGACAUUAUGAAACAUAACUAAGUUUAGCUCCGACCCCAGUUAAGCAGACCUGAGCAGCUGAUCAAGGAUCAGCAGAAACUCUGCAGAACGCUGGUCCUCCAGCCCAGGACUGGACACCAGAUGUAUGCUGGAGAAAAAAUAGUGAGGAUAAAGCAUUCAAAGUGGAAACAUCUGCCGUGGCUCAUUAAUCCAGAAUUGGAAUGGAGGAAGGAGCAGAAGAAGAAGCAGCAGAUCAGAGAUCAGGCAGAGAUCUACUGGUGUCCCUGUGGGAACCCCAUUUACCUACUGUGUUUUUUAAACCAAAGAUUUCCCUCACUUAUCUUCAUAUUGUUCCAAGCCAGACUUUUGGUCAACUUUGAAACAUAAAUGCAGAACUUUUUAAUGAAAUCUGAGAAUUCUUUUAAAUAUAAAAUAACGCAUUCACACAUGCACCAUGAUGCAUCAGUGUUGCAUUGGCAUGAGAGCUGGCGCUUUUGGUGCUUUUGUGAAAAUCCAUUGGGGAUUCAUAAUUUCUGAAUAGAUAAUUUUUGCUGUUGUUGUUGUUUUGCGUACACAAGGAAUCUGUUAAAAACAUAUCUUAAUUUGUGUUCUGCAACAUGGUUUGGGGCAACAUGAGGGUAAGUAAUUAAUGACAGAAUUUACAUUUUGGUUGUUCUAAAGUUAUAAUUGGUCAUAGUUUAUUGUCUUGAAAAAUUAUAUUAAUACAGAAAGAUGGAUUAAUUUGAUAAGUUUAUAGUAAAGACUUUUAAAUUGAUAAAAAAAAAAUCUAAAUAAAUACUACUCUUUUGCA